GACGAACGCUGGCGGCGUGCUUAACACAUGCAAGUCGAACGGAAAUGCCCCUUUGGGGGUACUCGAGUGUCGAACGUGUGAGUAACACGUGAGUAACCUUCCCUUGCCUUCGGGAUAACUUCACGAAACUGGGGCUAAUACCGUAUAGGCAUCCUUUCUGCAUGGUGGGGGUUGGAAAGCUUCGGCGGUUUUGGAUGGACUCGCGUCUUAUCAGCUUGUUGGUGGGGUAGUGGCUUACCAAGGCUUUGACGGGUAGCCGGCCUGAGAGGGUGACCGGCCACAUUAGGACUGAGAUAAGGCCCAGACUCCGACGGGAGGCAGCAGGGGGGAAUAUUGAACAAGGGGCGGAAGCCUGAUGCAGCAACGCCGCGGGCGGGAUGACGGCCUUCGGGUUGUAAACCGCGUUCAGCAGGGGCGAAGCUUGUGGUGACGGUACCUGCAGAAGAAGCACCGGCUAACUACGUG
rnacentral:rRNA from 1 species